rnacentral:rRNA from 1 species
UACGGGGGGGGCAAGCGUUGUUCGGAAUUACUGGGCGUAAAGGGCUCGUAGGUGGCCAACUAAGUCAUACGUGAAAUCCCUCAGCUUAACUGGGGAACUGCGUCUGAUACUGGAUGGCUUGAGUUUGGGAGAGGGAUGCGGAAUUCCAGGUGUAGCGGUGAAAUGCGUAGAUAUCUGGAGGAACACCGGUGGCGAAGGCGGCCACCUGGACGGUAACUGACGCUGAGACGCGAAAGCGUGGGGAGCAAACAGG